rnacentral:tRNA from 1 species
GCGUCUAUAGUGAAAUGGAUAUCACGUUACCCUCCGGAGGUAGAAGUCUGAGUUCGAGUCUCAGUAGACGCGC